rnacentral:tRNA from 1 species
UCGGGUAUGGUGUAACGGCUAACAUUGCCGCCUCUCAUCUACUGAGUGUUCGCGGCAGCUCGGGGUUCGAUUCCCCGUACCCGAA